rnacentral:rRNA from 1 species
AUUGAACGCUGGCGGCAUGCCUAACACAUGCAAGUCGAACGGUAACAGGCCCUUCGGGGCGCUGACGAGUGGCGGACGGGUGAGUAAUGCUUAGGAAUCUGCCUAGUAGUGGGGGAUAACCCGGGGAAACUCGGGCUAAUACCGCAUACGUCCUACGGGAGAAAGCGGGGGACCUUCGGGCCGUCGCGCUAUUAGAUGAGGCCUAAGUCCGAUUAGCUAGUUGGUAGGGUAACGGCCUACCAAGGCGACGANCGGUAGCUGGUCUGAGAGGACGACCAGCCACACUGGGACUGAGACACGGCCCAGACUCCUACGGGAGGGCAGCAGUGGGGGAAGUAUUGGACAAUGGGCGCAAGCCUGAUCCAGCGAUGCCGCGUGUGUGAAGAAGGCCUGCGGGUUGUAAAGCACUUUCAGUUGUGAAGAAAAG